CAGAAAAGAGGGUGGCAAAAUUUAUAUUCCGAUUUAGAUUAUAGCACAUGAAUUGGAAGGGAUGGAUAAAAAUAAAAAAUGAAUUGCUAUGGAUUCUCUACAGGAUGUAAAAUCCGAAUUGGUUGGUCAAUUAGAAUUAGAUUAUGUUGUUAUGUGCAGAAAUAAUUGAGUGGAUUUGAAAUAAUUUUUUUUUGAUUAUGUUGUUAUGUUCUGAAAUAUGCUUUGGAUUUGAAAUAAUUUCUGAGUCUGAAAUAAUUUGUUUUUGAUUAUGUUGUUAUGUUCUAAAAUAUGCUUUGGAUUUGAAAUAAUUUCUGGGUCUGAAAUAAUUUGUUUUUGAUUAUGUUGUUAUGUUCUGAAUUAUGCUUUGGUUCUGAAAUCUGGAUCUGGUUUUUGUCUGCGUUGCUUUCUUAGCUUGCUGGGUUGGAGCUCGUUUCAUUGCUGCCAAAUUUGGAUAUUCUUUGGCGUGGAGGUAAAUUUUGUAAAGGUAAAUUUUAUGUUGCAAAUAAAAGGUUUUUAGUUAAUCAUCUUUAGUUAAUCAUCUUGCUGUUCGUGGUAGUUAUAUACCCGUUGCAUUUUGGUCAGCCUGUCAUGUAUUAUGCAAAUCCCGAAAUGGUUUUAAGCAAGUGGACUUUGUUUAUUUAGUUAUGCACAUAAUACUUUCAUAUUUUAUUUGUUGUAGAAGUUGGUAUCUCACAGUUUCUCAUCAAAUGUAUGCGAGUAGUAUCGAAUGCAAAUUGUUUUAACAGCCAUUUGAUCAA
rnacentral:lncRNA from 1 species